AGCAGCCGCGGUAAUUCCAGCUCCAAUAGCGUAUAUUAAAGUUGUUGCAGUUAAAAAGCUCGUAGUUGAAUUUCGGGAUCAAUGUUUCGGUCAUGCCGUUGGUAUGUACUGAUAUUAUUGGUUUCUCACCUUCUAAAGAACCGUAAUGCCAUUAAUUUGGUGUCACGGGGAAUUAGGACUGUUACCUUGAAAAAAUUAGAGUGUUUAAAGCAGGCUCACGCUUGAAUACAUUAGCAUGGAAUAAUGAAAUAGGACAUCCGAUUCUAUUUUGUUGGUUUCUAGGAUCGAUGUAAUGAUUAAUAGGGAUAGUUGGGGGCAUUAGUAUUCAAUUGUCAGAGGUGAAAUUCUUGGAUUUAUUGAAGACUAACUACUGCGAAAGCAUUUGCCAAGGAUGUUUUCAUUAAUCAAGAACGAAAGUUAGGGGAUCGAAGACGAUCAGAUACCGUCGUAGUCUUAACCAUAAACUAUGCCGACUAGGGAUCGGGAUGAUGUUAAUUUUUUUAAUGUACUCA
rnacentral:rRNA from 1 species